rnacentral:misc_RNA from 1 species
AAAAAAGGCGUGAUAUGAUCAAGUAUGAAGGCAAUUAGGAUCUUACUACAGCACAAAGCUUUUUUACUUAAGUAUUGAAGAACCAACAAUAAGAACGUAUAUUAACAUCAGAGGUUAAGCACUGGACACAGUGAUAAUUAGGGUCAAAUAUUAGGCAUAAGCAAAUAGCCUUGCCAGCUAAUUGUUAAGUAUUAUAGGAAGAAGUUUAGGAA